GUGCUUGAUUUGGCAGCAAUUACACUAAAACUGAAACAAAAAGAGAAGAUUAGCCUCACCCUUGAGUAAGGAUGACACUCAAAGUCAGGAAAUGUUUCAGAUUUUA
ensembl:snRNA U6 U6 spliceosomal RNA